AUUGAACGCUGGCGGCAGGCCUAACACAUGCAAGUCGAGCGGGGUUUUCGGACCUAGCGGCGGACGGGUGAGUAAUGCGUAGGAAGCUGCCCGAUAGAGGGGGAUACCAGUUGGAAACGACUGUUAAUACCGCAUAAUGUCUACGGACCAAAGUGUGGGACCUUCGGGCCACAUGCUAUUGGAUGCGCCUACGUGGGAUU
rnacentral:rRNA from 1 species